UACGAAGGGGGCUAGCGUUGCUCGGAAUCACUGGGCGUAAAGCGCACGUAGGCGGCUUCUUAAGUCAGGGGUGAAAUCCUGGAGCUCAACUCCAGAACUGCCUUUGAUACUGAGGAGCUUGAGUCCGGGAGAGGUGAGUGGAACUGCGAGUGUAGAGGUGAAAUUCGUAGAUAUUAGCAAGAACACCAGUGGCGAAGGCGCUCACUGGCCCG
rnacentral:rRNA from 1 species